CAUGGUGGUGUUCACUAGUGGAAUCGUCGAUGGCUGGUCGGGGUCCCUUCGGGGGUCUUGGCUGGUUGCUCAUGGCCCUGCGUUGGUGGGGGAUGGGGUCAGGCACACUGUUGGGUCCUGAAGGAUCAGCCGGAUGGUUGGUUGUUCUGGUCCUCCCUUUGCUCGUGGGUGCCCUGUGUGGGUGGUCGGGGGUGUUGGUGGGGUUGUUGUUUGAGAUCUGCAUAGUGGACGCGAGCAUCUUUGUAGCCGCCCGCCCUUUCGGGCCCUUUCGGGUUGUACCGGUUGGGUUGUGGUUGGUUGCAAGUAGUUCAAUGAGCUCAAGUUUUUGAGUUCUGGCGUGGCCUGUUUUUCCUGACGGGUCGCGUCGAAGGCUGGCCUGCCUCUUUGAUUGGGGGGUGGGCUGGUGUUGUCUCUUUGUGUGUGUUGUCUUGACGUUGUUGAGACAA
rnacentral:misc_RNA from 1 species